GUGAACAUGGAGUCCUAUGCAGCAAGAAUGCCAGUUGUGAUCAAAGCUUUCCUGCCAGUUUCAUUUUGGAGUCAGUGAGAAGUGCUCUGGGACCACAACAGCUGGAUAGAAUAAAUGGCCCAUAGAAUGGUACACUGACAGCAAUUGUGAGGUGUUCGUCUUUUGCUGGUUGAAUGCAAGCGUCUUCCUCUGGAACAUUAAACCUGCCUAUUACAAAGAACUCCUGCUAGUAUAAACAGAAUUCAGUCACCAACCUUUUCUAGGACAUGUGAAAAUCCAAUAAUGUCUUUCUGUGAGUCAUCAUGCAGUUCCCUUAGAGCCCAAUUUUGCAAGCUGCCAAACACUUUAAAAUGGAUACAAAGCUGCUUAAUGUGCUUUUGUUUUAGGAAGGGUUACUGUAAAUGGAAACCAUGGCACACCUAUCUUGCUCCAACUUUUGUAACAUUGACAAGUGAAGAAACAAGUCUUUGGAGGAUAACCAGGAUGUGAGACACCACUUUGGCAACUGGAGGAUUAAAUAUAGGGUGUGGUGAGGUGAGCUGGACUCAAAUAAAAAACAAAAGUUAAAAACACAGAUAUUCUGAUGAUUGUGGGAUGAGGGUAUGUCUGAUGGAACUGGUUGAUGAGGAGUAAUAUCAAGCCACAGGUCUUGUUCUGGAGCUAAAUAAAUGCAAGAGAUGGCUUGAAUGUCUAACGCAAAUGUACUAGACAAGGUUACCGCAACCAUAUAUGUAAGUAGUCUCACUUAUCUGGAGAUCAAACAGCAUGCCAACAACUUAAAUCAAGAAAUAGAUUUCUAAGAUCUACAGAGACACUCACUGGAACACCUCAGCAAGCGGGAGUCCAAAAUUGGCAAGCCAAAAUCCAGAACCUCAAUCAAUGGCUGAUACCAAAUGAGAGGCUCCCUCCUGGGCACACAGAAAACUGGGGGACUUGGAAGAUGCUGAACAGACUGUGCUCUGGCACCAUGAGAUGCAGAGCCAACCUUAAGAAAUGGGGCUACCAAGUGGAGUCCAUGACAUGAGAGUGUGGAAAAGAGCAAACCACAGACCACAUAUCACAAUGCAACCUGAGCCCUGCCACAUGCACAAUGGAGGAUAUUCUUAUAGCAAGACCAGGGGCACUCCAAGUGGCCAGCUACUGGUCAAAGGACAUUUAAUAGAUUGAC